rnacentral:tRNA from 1 species
GUUAAUAUAGCAUAAUAAAUGUAUUUGUUUUAAGCGCAAAAGAUUGAAAGUUAACU